GGCAAGUGCAAAAGGCCUGAGCUGGAACAAGCUCAUUGUGUUCUAAGAACAGAACGUCAAUGUGGUGAUUUCAUAGAGAAAAGAAAUGCUCCAAGGUGAAGCUGCAGAAACAAGCAUGGAAUCAAGUCAUGCAGGAGCUUGUGAGCUUUGAUAAAGGGGUUGGGUUUUACUCUAACAAGAGUUGAAAGUCAUGAGAAGAUUUUGACGGGGAAGUGAUACAGGGCGGAGGCUUUUCGGAGAAUGACUUUUGGUGGUCAGAGUAGAAGCCUCUUAGGCAGCUAUUAUAGUUUUCCAGCCAUAAAAAGUGAAUUCUUACCAAUUUGGGUGUGA
rnacentral:lncRNA from 13 species